GACGAACGCUGGCGGCGUGCUUAACACAUGCAAGUCGAGCGGUAAGGCCCUUUCGGGGGUACACGAGCGGCGAACGGGUGAGUAACACGUGGGUGACCUGCCUCUAGCUCUGGGAUAAGCCUGGGAAGCUGGGUCUAAUACCGGAUAUGACCUCGCGGUGCAUGUUGCGGGGUGAAAGCCUUGUGCGGCUAGGGAUGGGCCCGCGGCCUAUCAGCUUGUUGGUGGGGUGANGGCCUACCAAGGCGACGACGGGUAGCCGGCCUGAGAGGGCGACCGGCCACACUGGGACUGAGACACGGCCCAGACUCCUACGGGAGGCAGCAGUGGGGAAUCUUGCGCAAUGGGCGAAAGCCUGACGCAGCGACGCCGCGUGAGGGAUGACGGCC
rnacentral:rRNA from 1 species